UUUUGCAGUGGAAUUUGGAGGAGAAGUGGUUCUGUUUAACUUUCAAUGAGCCUGGACCUUUUGGUUUGUGUCCCUCUGGCACGCCUGCCCAGCUGCAGCAGAGAGCUGCGUGCUGCUCAUACAAGAUGUGAGAGCAAGGAAGGGGUUAGGCUGUUGAAAGCAGGUUUCUACAAGCCUUUAAAAUACCGAACGCUGCGUGUGUGUGUCCAGUUUGGAUGUGUCUGUAUCAGCCUCGGUGUGUGGCAUCUAACCCACAGCUGUCUGGACACAGCCAUGUUGUCCAGCUGAGUGUUUUCUUCUUGCUGGGUCCCUCAGCUGCUGACUUGCACGGGUGCUGGACUCUGGUUUCCAACGUGGUUAACCAACACUUGUAAAACACUGAAAUGGGCUCUGAAGGGCACAUGUGAACGCAUCUGAGCACAGCUCGCUCCAACUGCAGGAGAUGGGUUCCCCCUCUACAGGAUUAAUGCACCCAAAUCUGGCUGCAAGGCGGGAGGACGUGCAAGCGCUCUGCACCAGGACAGCAUCACCAGUUCCUUACUGGGAAUUCGCCCAUAACCAGCAAGGUCUUCCAGAGAAGUGAGUCCAGAGGUUGGAUUUGCCACCUGGAUAAGGAUGUCUCAACCUCAUUCAUCCACCAGGGACAGUGACAAGUCCUGCUGCUUCCCAUGGGCAGCCCUGCUCUUCUCCAGCCCCUGGCAGCCUGUCCUCCCACUUUCCGGACGACAAUUGUUUCAUGUAAGACUGCAGGAUCCCGAGGUCCAAGCCAUUCCAUCCCAUUACUUGGGAUGCUGCUGCCUGGAGGCACAGAGCUUGGAUGCUGCUGACUGAUGUUCCCAGGGAUAUCUGUUGCAGUAUGUGUUGCUAUUUGACCAUGCAGAGCUUCAGGGGGAGUGAGCAAACCUUUUUUUCCAAGCUGUUUGCAAGCCAAGCGCAUUCUGGAAAGCUUUGCCCAUUCCUGUCUCCCUGUGCUGGCUUUGCAGAGGCCGUCGUGGUGGAUGGGAAUGAUCCCUUGGUACACACAGUGGAGAAGAAGCGGUUCUUCCUGUGAGUCUCUCUCCGCUUUCCUCUGCUGCUCAUCAUUUUUAGGGUGUUUGCACAUCUUUCCAUCAGUCCAUCCAUCCAUCCGUUAGUCUACCCAUUUGUCCAUCUGUCCAUCCAUCCAUCUGUCCAUUCAUCUGUCCGUCCAUCCAUCCACCCGUACAUCUGUCCAUUUGCCUGUUCAUCUGUCCCUCUGUCCAUCCACCCAUCCAUCCAUUUUUCUCUCCAUCCGUCUAGCCACCCAUUCAUCUCUCCAUCGAUCCAUCCCUUUGUCUCUCCAUCCGCCCAUCCAUUCACCUCUCCAACCAUCCAUCCAUCCAUCCAUCCAUCCAUCCGUCUAUCUGUCCAUCCGCACACGCUGCCAGUGCUGGGAAGGGCUCCACGGGCCUGCCAAGGCCAGAUGGUGUUUGCGAGGAGCGCCAGGUCCCAGCUGAGCGCUGCCCGGCGAGAUGCGCGCGGGAGCUGCCGGGCAGCCGGCUCUGCCAAACCCGCGGCAUAUGCUGCGCCCGACCCUACACCUGCCGGUGGGCAGCCGCUGCGCGCUGCCGGCGUGAAGGAAAGAGGAAAAGCGCAGCCCCAUCUGGAAGGAAUUUAACGGAUAAACAACAGCAGUGAAACCCCCCAAAUUAAAAAAAAAUAAUAAAGUAUAAAAUUGAAGAGUGUGCAGAGGGAGUCAGAAACAGCAGGAGAAGGUGCCGCGGUGCUGGGCUGAGGUGGCCAGGGCACGCCCCUGUUUGCACCAGCCCCUCAGUUUUCAUCAGGACCCCCGUUUGUGCACAUACAGCCCCACCAGCCCCAGCUAAAUGUGAUGAGAACUGCUGGGGGAUAUUUGGAGAAAACCCCAAAUGGCCACGAGCAAAAUUGGUGGGGGAAUAGACUUCCUGCCUACUUUGUAUUUACUUUAAAACUGUGCACACUCCAGGCUCAACUCUGUAAUUUAUUGAAAGGAACUAGACUGGAAACCAGAUUCACACUGUGAGUAAUUUCUAACAUCAUUGCCAUCUAUCACCAGGAGACAGGGCACUUUGUUUCUCUGAAAAAUUAUUUUUGUAGUUGGCUUAGUAACAACAACAAUUAUUAUUAUUAAUAUUAAUAACUACUUGCGUAAGGCCUUUCAUGCACUGCUUAGGCAGAGUUCUGCACAUGGGACAGUUGUGUUGGCUGCGCCUCCUGGGAAGGGAAACGGAGACACAGACUUGGCCCCUGCCUUGCUCAGGUGGGCAGCAUCCUUUUCUGCUACAUUUGCUGUGCUGGAUGCGUAGGAUUUUUGUUCCACCUGCCCUGGAGCUUUGCUCUUGCUGAGAGCAGAGGCACAACGGCAGCUCCAGCGAUGGGUUGUGCCUCCUAGCAGGACCAGAAGUGUGGUACAGGGUGAGUUAUCCCCACUGCUGUUCUCCAGGUCACAUCUCUACAGCAUCUCCAACGCCGUGUUGGGAAAUCCCUAGGAGCCUGGUGUUGCCAGCCCUGCCCGGUGGGUAUCUCCCAGCAUCACCACCGAUGUACUGGGCUCCCUUGUUUCCACCUCCUUAACAAAGGCCCAAGUCUAACCCAGCAGCUACAUCUGAGCAGGCUUUGCUGUUGAGGGGGGGGGAAGCUUCGAAACACGUUCUGCCGUUGCUCUUCUUCCUCCCUCCUCUUUCCUCAGCCCCUCUCCAGGUCCCAUCCACCCUCUUGCUGCCAGCCUCCCCGCAGGCCACACUCAGCACCGCCCCAUGGACCUGACCCCGCUGCCAGCCCGCGCUGCCAUUUAGACUACUGAAGUCAAAUUAGGGUCAGAUUUUGGGGGGUCCUGUCUGGAGCCACGAGUUGGACUCGAUGAUGCAUAUGGAUCCCUUCUGACUCAGGAUAUUCCAUGACUCUACGAUUUUAUGGUUCAAGGGGAUCUUAGGGAGGACCAGCUGUCCACGCCAUGGCACUACACGAAGGACUCAGCGAAGGGGCAGGAUCCAUGAGGCCAUGCAGAAGGUGGGAUCCCUCGUGGCUUUUUUUUCCCAGGAAAGGGCUUUGGGAAGAGUUUUGCACCCUCUGAAGCGGGAAACUGCACAAUUACCUUCUUGGAGAAUUGCACAAAGUCAAUCUUUUUUCCUUUU